ensembl:rRNA 5S_rRNA 5S ribosomal RNA
CAAGGCGGCCAUACAACCCUGAACACACCUGAUCUCAUCAGAUCUCGGAAGCUAAGCAGGGUCGGGGCUGGUUAGUACUUGGAUGGUAGACCGCCUGGGAAUACCAGGUGCUGUAAGUG